rnacentral:misc_RNA from 1 species
GCAUGAUGACAACUCUAUAGUUUCCUGUCAGCCUGAUACCCUCUCGUGAAGACAUAACUUCAACUCAGCUCACACUGAAGCGCU